GAUGAACGCUGGCGGCGUGCCUAAUACAUGCAAGUCGAGCGAAUGGAUUAAGAGCUUGCUCUUAUGAAGUUAGCGGCGGACGGGUGAGUAACACGUGGGUAACCUGCCCAUAAGACUGGGAUAACUCCGGGAAACCGGGGCUAAUACCGGAUAACAUUUUGAACCGCAUGGUUCGAAAUUGAAAGGCGGCUUCGGCUGUCACUUAUGGAUGGGCCCGGGUCGCAUUAGCUAGUUGGUGAGGGAACGGCUCACCAAGGCAACGAUGCGUAGCCGACCUGAGAGGGUGAUCGGCCACACUGGGACUGAGACACGGCCCAGACUCCUACGGGAGGCAGCAGUAGGGAAUCUUCCGCAAUGGACGAAAGUCUGACGGAGCAACGCCGCGUGAGUGAUGAAGGCUUUCGGGUCGUAAAACUCUGUUGUUAGGGAAGAACAAGUGCUAGUUGAAUAAGCUGGCACCUUGACGGUACCUAACCAGAAAGCCACGGCUAACUACGUGCCAGCCGCCGCGGUAA
rnacentral:rRNA from 1 species